rnacentral:tRNA from 1 species
AUUUAAGUAGUUUAUAUUAAAAUAAGGGUUUGUGGAUUCCUAGAAGAUUUUUUCCUUAAGUU